CUCAGCAAGUCUACUUCUCGAGGUCUCUCCUUGAGGACUGAGAGAGAAUUCUGGUUCACAUACGUGAGCGCGAGGAGGAACCUCUUUGGAGUUUUCUCCUUUCCUUUUACUGAUUUUACUAGAAAAGAGACAUCGCUGUUUAGAAGCCAGUCAAUCGCUCAGUGUCAUCACCCUGCCUGCUGGCUGGGCAGGGUAACUCCUCAGGUCACGACCUUCUCCAGCCUGGGCUUCGGGAGUGAGGAGGAGGAUGAACAUCUGCCAUCCAUCACUUCAUCACCUAGAGCAAUUCCAGGAUGUCCAGGCUCCUGAGGAUGUUCAGGAAGAAGGCUCUGCAGGUGGCCCCAGAGCCUGAGGAAAGCAGCUGCCACCUUCCUCAGAGGCAGAACGGCCUCUCCGUCUCCACUGGCGGGGAAGCAGCUCUCAGCCAGAAAGAAGCUCCCCAGAGAUGUCCUCGAACCUGGACUCCCGAGAAUGUUUCUGGCAGGAGUGUCCAGCCCCUCAGGCAUGAAAAGAGCAUCCUGCAGUCUUGUUCACAUGGCAUCUCUGCUCCCCAACUCCACUCCCUGCAGUAGAACAAACAAACCCUUCAGCUCCCAGAGUCCCGACUCUUUGACCUCCUUCCACUCAGCAGUGGGGUUUCUCCAGCCCCCUCACCACACCUGUCAGCCUCUGAAUGAUGAGGGGCCUGAAUGUCAGAGUCACCAGAACAAGCAAACUCCAGUUCCAAGCAGUGGGGCCUGUGUGUACUCAGCCCCUCUGGAAACCAGGUCUGAAAUGAGAAGCAAGGACCCCAGCCCAGUAACAGUAGGAGUGGGCAGAGCAGGCCUGUACCAGGGUGCUUUCACCUGGGCUGCACAGCCUGGGGCCAAGCCAAGCUGAUUACCGACUGAGCCCUAACUGAGAGGCACCAUGUACCUCCCACUAAAGAGCCAGACUUCAGUGGUGAUAGGGCCCAGCUGGGAUCUCAACAGGAAUGAGAACGAGGUAGGAAGUUCAGAGCAUCAAGGAAAGCCUAGAGGGGAACUUGAGAAGAGAGGUAGGAAGUGCCCAGGGGAAACUGCAGCAAAGAGAAAGGAGCAGACCAAGCUGUUGGAUACAGGACCUGGGCUGCUACCAGUGUCUGGGUGGGGCUGGGUUCCCCUACUGGCCCAAAGAAGGGGGCAUACACACACCCGGAGAGGGUUCCAAGCCCAGCAAGGGGGCUGCAGGCUGAGCAAGAGCCCCAGCAAUGACAGAAGGACUUUUUUCUGUGGAAAGACCUCUUUGGACUUUUAGUAUGAGACAAGCUGGGCCCAGUAAGGGUGGACUAAAGGUGGUGACCAGCCCAGAGGCUGAGUUACUAGGCAGAGAAACUGCCAUGGUGCUGGAGCAACCAUUGAUGGGGGACGCUAGCCCAGCAAGAGGGCUGUGAUUCUAUGUCUGGAGAAAAAGAGCAGAUGCGGAGAGCAUGCCUGGGCUGUGCUGAGAAGGUUAGCCCAGGAGAGCAGGGCAUGAGAAAGUGAAUACGCGUGGCCUAAUGCCAAGAUGGGGACAAGAGUUCUUUGUUUUGGGUGCAGAGAACAGGCCAUAUCAAAAGACAGGCCUGCUUAGGAAAUUGCUGAGUGGCAAAAGGAGGGGCCAGGGCCCCAAGAAGGUAGAAAGAAAGGAGAAGGUGUCCUCUGGCACAAACUCACGUGAGGUAGGCAACGUGGAGGUGGUGGGGAUGGCCGUGGACUUUGCAGACCCUCCACCAACACACCUUGUCGGGUUCUGCAAGGAGGUGAAGGAUGAAAUGGUUGGCACAGAGAUGAAGCAGACUGAAGUGGGGACAAACACAACGGUGGAACAGUCCAUGAUGGAUUCUUAGACCCUGACAGAAAAGGUUUUGGGGGAUACAGCGGCAGUAGCAAAAAGGCUAUAGGAGAAGCUAGUGGCUUCAGAACAAGGCUCUCCAAGCAGCUGUUAAUGAGAAUGAGUGGCUGCAGGAAGAGCAUUGGGAUACUGCAGAAGAGGAGGAUUGCCUCUUAAUUCUGGUGAGCGAGCUGGCAGGGGAGCUGGAGAUGCCGAGUGCCCAGGCUGUACAAGCGCGCAGCUGGUGACAGCGAUGAGAUGGCAAGGGAUGAAGCUUGGACAAGAGUAGAACUUGCCCUUGGUUUGGGCUGGAUUUUAAGGAGGGUAUAUAACAGGAUGGCUUGGUCUGUUGGCUGUAAAGCCUGGAGUUAGGCCCAAUUGAUUACAAAGUGAGCCCCACCUGAGGGGAAACCAGGGAAAACUGCAGGAAAAGUAAAGGAGCAGGCCUAGCAGUUCAGUACAGGGCUUUGGGCCAGAACCUAGAGUCCAGGGCAGGAAUGGGUUCUCCCACCAUCCCCAAGGAAGACGAUGUACCAUACAAGAUCAUGGAAAGGGCUUCCAAGCCCAGCAAGGGCAGGCCAAGCCAAAGCCAGGCUGAGGAAGUGCCCCCAAGAGGGCGGAAGGCCUUGUUUCUGUUAAAGACAUUUUUGGACUUUUAGUUUGGGAUGAGCGUGACCCAGGAAGGAGCGGACUAAAGGACGGUCACCUGGCUGGAGGGCUGAGUUCCCAGCCAACAAACUGCCAGAGCGACUAUGGGCGGCGGUGCUAGCCCAGCAAGACAGCUGUGACACCAGGCCAGCCCUAGCAGCUCUGUCCCAGCCACUCGCACAGAUGUAUCUUGCAGCCAGCCCAGCUCAGGGAACAGUGGGGGCAGGUGAUCUCAUCCUGUCAAACCAAGCAACAUGGGUCUCAUUGAGGCUCAGAUGGAAGUUCCUAUGCAUCUUCUGGAGAGGAUGUGUCCAGGAUCCUGGAGACUGUUUACUGCAGAAAGUUUGAGCGGAGAGAGAGUACUGCUCCCGCUCCCCCGGCUUGAUUUCCUGGCAUCCAGACUCGGUGCGACUCGUGGCAUCCGAUUUGUGGUUCUGAUCACAAGUUUGUCUUUUACUUCGGACCUUCCAGUAUCCUGACCCAGCUGACACUCAACUCCUGUCUUGUGAGUGUGGACUCUGGCUCUGACCAUUAGGUCUGGCUGCCUCUGACCUGGCUGUGACACUGACUUUUGUACAAUUUCUCCAAUGCCCUUUCUGCUCCCUCCAGCAAGACACACCAAUCCCUUGGCUCCCAAAGUCCUGGUUGCCUGCUAUUCCAGGGCUGAGGGGUAGUGCUUGUAUUGCCCCCACCACAGCUGCUUUUCCUAUGGGAAUCUUCCUAGAGCAGAGGAGCAACCUACUGUAUUUUCCACUCCAUG